rnacentral:lncRNA from 1 species
UAGGCCAUUUGAAUAACUGAAAUUGUGGUGGGUAUCUGAAAUACCUCCACGCAAAUUCUGUGACAGCUUACACAAGGAUAUGCAUUGUCUUUCCCUAUUAUGGCUGUUGAACUUGUUAUGCAUUUUCAUUGUUACAUAGGAGGGUAGCAGUGGAGAGUAACUUAAAUGAGCAAGUAUUUCUUUUCUAUUUAAAUCAAAAGGAAUAUAUCAUACCCUUGGCUGAACACCAUAUACCUGACCCCAAAAUGUGACCAUUGUUUUUCUUUUGUAUUCUCAUGUUCUGAGAGAUAGUCAGAGAGAAAAGAAAGAGAGAGAGACAGAAAGAGAGGAAAGAAAGAAAGCAAGAAGACAGAAAGGAAGAAAGGAAGAGAGAGAAAGAAAGAAAGAAAGAAAGAAAGAAAGAAAGAAAGAAAGAAAGAAAGAAAGAAGGAAGGAAGGAAGGAAGGAAGGAAGGAAAGAAGGAAGGAAGAAAGAAAGGAAAGGAAGGAAGGAAGGAAGAAAGAAAGAAAGAAAGAAAGAAAGGAAGAAAGAAAGAAAGAAAGAAAGAAAAGCAAGACCUGUGAUUGGUAUGCUGAUGGUGGGAAAAUAGAAACUGAACUUUCAAAUAUAAUACUUUUUAAAAAGCCUUUUGUGAACCUAUAAAACAUAAGAUAAAUUAAAUCUAAUUUGCAUGCAAUUUGUCAUGUAUUUAGAGGUUGGUGGCAAUUAAAAAUGCAAUUUGCUUUUAACACUGUAUUUCCCUUUUAUGUACAUUAAAAAAAUACUUUGACACAUUUCUGUCAUGUUCAUGAGAUUACAAUAGUGCCCUCUAGUGGACAAAUGAAAUUAUACCUCAUAUAUUUGUAGGGUUUUCGUAAUUUUACACACAUGAGCUGACCUAUAUUUAAUUCAAAUAAGAAGGCAGUAAUGACACUUUGAGUAGGUAGAAAGCGUUGUGUUAUUUUAACGGGAAAGAGUUUGUGGAUGGGACAAUGUAUCUGAGUGAAUUUGCAUUUAGAAAGUAGUUUUCUUUCUCCCCAUUCUUUUCUUUCCCUCUCUUUCCUUCUAUUUUUUAAAAAUAUUCUUUUAACCAAUAAACCUUCAAUUUAACGUUAUAACGCAUAUAUGAAAUUGGGACUUGAAAGCUGAGGACAGAAAUGAAAUGUGUUAUUAUCAUCAAGUUUAAGGCCACUUUAGGAGGUUUUGCUUUGGUAGACAAAGCUAUUUUAGCAAACACAUUAUGCAGUCGUACCUCCUUAUAUUCUUUGAAUAUUGGUUGUCAGGGAAAUAGAAUAUCGGAAGCAUCUAACCUAGAAAUUCAUAAAGAUUUUUUCAUUGGUUGAUAGUCAACACUAAUAUUAGAAGGAGUAAAAAUAUCUGUGCAAUAUAAUAAUCUUACUUACAUUUUUAUCUCUGAAUGCA